rnacentral:rRNA from 1 species
AUGGCUUGAUGAAGAAAGAUUUUAUCAGUAAGGAUGGGGAUGCGUCCCAUUAGCUGGUUGGUGGGUAACGGCCCACCAAGGCGACGAUGGGUAGGGGUUCUGAGAGGAAGGUCCCCCACAUUGGAACUGAGACACGGUCCAAACUCCUACGGGAGGCAGCAGUGAGGAAUAUUGGGUCAAUGGGCGCGAGCCUUGAACCAGCCAAGGUAGCGUGGAGGACGACGGCCCUACGGGUUGUAAACUCCUUUUAUAAGGGGAUAAAGUUGGCCAUGUAUGGCCAUUUGCAGGUACCUUAUGAAUAAGCAUCGGCUAAUUCCGUG